UAUCCUGGCUCAGAUUGAACGCUGGCGGCAGGCUUAACACAUGCAAGUCGAACGAUGACUCUCUAGCUUGCUAGAGAUGAUUAGUGGCGGACGGGUGAGUAACAUUUAGGAAUCUGCCUAGUAGUGGGGGAUAGCUCGGGGAAACUCGAAUUAAUACCGCAUACGACCUACGGGUGAAAGGGGGCGCAAGCUCUUGCUAUUAGAUGAGCCUAAAUCAGAUUAGCUAGUUGGUGGGGUAAAGGCCCACCAAGGCGACGAUCUGUAACUGGUCUGAGAGGAUGAUCAGUCACACCGGAACUGAGACACGGUCCGGACUCCUACGGGAGGCAGCAGUGGGGAAUAUUGGACAAUGGGGGCAACCCUGAUCCAGCCAUGCCGCGUGUGUGAAGAAGGCCUUUUGGUUGUAAAGCACUUUAAGCAGGGAGGAGAGGCUAAUGGUUAAUACCCAUUAGAUUAGACGUUACCUGCAGAAUAAGCACCGGCUAACUCUGUGCCAGCAGCCGCGGUAAUACAGAGGGUGCGAGCGUUAAUCGGAAUUACUGGGCGUAAAGCGAGUGUAGGUGGCUCAUUAAGUCACAUGUGAAAUCCCCGGGCUUAACCUGGGAACUGCAUGUGAUACUGGUGGUGCUAGAAUAUGUGAGAGGGAAGUAGAAUUCCAGGUGUAGCGGUGAAAUGCGUAGAGAUCUGGAGGAAUACCGAUGGCGAAGGCAGCUUCCUGGCAUAAUA
rnacentral:rRNA from 1 species